rnacentral:lncRNA from 1 species
UUCAUAUAUGUCUAAGGUUACGUAUAUCAUUUAAGUGUUACUAGCAGAAAUGCCCGUGCGUUGCUACGGGUCAUUACUUGCUGUCACGUUAUUAUACGUUUGUUCGUACCAUUUUUGAACUUUGAACAAGAAUUUUCAUUUGCAAGACCUGCGCUCUCUGUGCCCAAUGUUGCCCAUCAAGCUUAGCACAAAUAAAUAAUCGAAAACAAUCAAUGGAGUAUUUUUCAGACAUAAGGAAGUAAUUUUCCCAAUAAAAACUUUUUGUCACUUUAAUUACCAUCAGGGACACUUUUCUUGUCUAUCUUUACAUAUUUCCCAUCAAUGCUCU